AACGAACGCUGGCGGCAUGCCUAACACAUGCAAGUCGAACGAGACCUUCGGGUCUAGUGGCGCACGGGUGCGUAACGCGUGGGAACCUGCCCUUAGGUUCGGAAUAACUCCCCGAAAGGGGUGCUAAUACCGGACAAUGUCUUCGGACCAAAGAUUUAUCGCCUUUGGAUGGGCCCGCGUUGGAUUAGCUAGUUGGUAGGGUAAAAGCCUACCAAGGCGACGAUCCAUAGCUGGUCUGUGAGGAUGAUCAGCCACACUGGGACUGAGACACGGCCCAGACUCCUGCGGGAGGCAGCAGUGGGGAAUAUUGGACAAUGGGCGAAAGCCUGAUCCAGCAAUGCCGCGUGAGUGAUGAAGGCCUUAGGGUUGUAAAGCUCUUUUACCCGGGAUGAUAAUGACGGUACCGGGAGAAUAAGCACCGGCUAACUCCGU
rnacentral:rRNA from 1 species